rnacentral:lncRNA from 1 species
GAGUAACACAUAUUAGUAACAACACCAGCAACUCAUUAAUUUUUGACAAUUUGUAAAGCCUAAUUUUAUUGCCCUGGUGACCUUACCUUACCUCAAUAUGUAAGGAAUCAGCCCAAGAAAAUGAACUAUAUGCAGUCCCUUUGGCAAGAAAGAGCAGGAAAGACACUGCUGAAAAAUGAUCGUCUAGGCUUCUAUUUAAUAUGAAUUCAUAUACAGGGAGCCUCUGAAUACUGCUUUCCCUUUUAAUGCCACGAUAUCCAAUUAGUUGAUGUGAUUUGGGUGAUCUACCAGACUGCCACUCCCAGAAAUUGCACUUUCCCUACCAAGUAUUAAUAACCCUACAUAACAACAAUUAGAGAUCAACACAAUACUACAUGUUUCAAUAACAUAUAACUUAAAUUGUUUAGCUUCUUAAACACAAAACUCAUGCUUUAACUUCCCAAGAACACACUAAUUAUCUACAGAAGCAAAAUGUGUCACUCAUACCUUGUUGCAAAGUAAAUGCUGAAAACCAAAAUGUUAAAUCAAAAGGGAGAAAAGUGAAACACAAUUCCAUUGUUGUCAUGGAUCAGUCAAAGUCGCCAUGACAACUUUGAGUGAGCCAUGGUUGCUAACACAUCAGUUCUGACAGAGAAAAGAGAUACCAAAAGCUCCCCCAGUGCCUCCAACUCUACCCCUAGUCAAAGAACAUCAUUUGCACCUUCUUUCACAUAUCUACUACUUAUCCAAAUGUAGUAAAUAAAAUAAAAAUAAAAAGUAAAGUAUUACCUCCCAUCAUCAACAUCAAUAUCUCAAGUAACAAAUGAAAGCAUCAAGGCCCUUAUCCUGAACUGCUCUAAACUGCUGGUGCAUUUGAAUCUACUACAGUAUUCCUACAAGAUGGCCCUAAAAUUUUUCAAAAAAAAUAAAAGUCUUUCAACUAGCAUACCAACAUACAGAUUGCCACAAAGGAGAUUGCAAAUGGAUUCAAAGCUGAACUGAAGUAAACACUUACCGAAUUAACAUAGGCACGGGC